UACGUAGGUGGCAAGCGUUGUCCGGAAUUAUUGGGCGUAAAGGGCUUGUAGGUGGCCAACUAAGUCAGACGUGAAAUCCCUCGGCUUAACCGGGGAACUGCGUCUGAUACUGGAUGGCUUGAGUUUGGGAGAGGGACGCGGAAUUCCAGGUGUAGCGGUGAAAUGCGUAGAUAUCUGGAGGAACACCGGUGGCGAAGGCGGCGUCCUGGACCAACACUGACACUGAAAAGCGAAAGCCAGGGGAGCAAACGGG
rnacentral:rRNA from 1 species